rnacentral:rRNA from 1 species
AAGGUAUCAUGGAGGGUGAGAAUCCCGCUCAUGGCUAAUUUUAAGGAAGCUCUACGACACGUUUUCCAAGAGUCGAGUUGUUUGGGAUUGCAGCUCAAAAUGGGAGGUAAAUUUCUCCUAAGGCUAAAUAUUGGCGAGAGACCGAUAGCGAACAAGUACCGUGAGGGAAAGAUGAAAAGAACUUUGAAAAGAGAGUUAAACAGUACGUGAAAUUGUUGAAAGGGAAACGAUUGAAGUCAGUCAUACCAACGGGAAAUCAACCUUUUGAGCUCGGUCUCGUGGGUUUUGAAGAGUUUCAAAGCCUUCGGAUUCGCGGGAUUGGGAUCUCUUGGNGUACUUUUUCGUACGGUUAGUCAACAUCGGUUUUGAAUGUCAUAAAAUGACUGGAGGAAUGUAGCUUCGAUCUCGUAUUGAAGUGUUAUAGCCUUUGGUAGAUGUGAUGUUUGAGACCGAGGAUUGCAACGGAUACCCUUCAGGGCUAUUCGUCUGAUCUCUGAUACGUUGCCUUGAUGUUGAAAGCUUGCUUAUGAUGUUAGGGUAUUACGGUCAAAAGGUUAGAACGAAUUACAUUCGUUAAGGAUGUUGACGUAAUGACUUUAAACGACCCGUCUUGAAACACGGACCAAGGAGUCUAACAUAUAUGCGAGUGUUUGGGUGAUUAAACCCUUGCGCGUAAUGAAAGUAAUUUUGGUGAGAUCCGGGAAAAAAUUUUCGGAGCAUCAUCGACCGAUCAGGAUAUUUUUUGAUAGAUUUGAGUAAGAGCAUACUGCU